rnacentral:rRNA from 1 species
CUACGGGAGGCAGCAGUAGGGAAUCUUCCGCAAUGGACGAAAGUCUGACGGAGCAACGCCGCGUGAGUGAUGAAGGUUUUCGGAUCGUAAAGCUCUGUUGUUAGGGAAGAACAAGUGCCGUUCAAAUAGGGCGGCACCUUGACGGUACCUAACCAGAAAGCCACGGCUAACUACGUGCCAGCAGCCGCGGUAAUACGUAGGUGGCAAGCGUUGUCCGGAAUUAUUGGGCGUAAAGGGCUCGCAGGCGGUUUCUUAAGUCUGAUGUGAAAGCCCCCGGCUCAACCGGGGAGGGUCAUUGGAAACUGGGGAACUUGAGUGCAGAAGAGGAGAGUGGAAUUCCACGUGUAGCGGUGAAAUGCGUAGAGAUGUGGAGGAACACCAGUGGCGAAGGCGACUCUCUGGUCUGUAACUGACGCUGAGGAGCGAAAGCGUGGGGAGCGAACAGGAUUAGAUACCCUGGUA